rnacentral:rRNA from 1 species
AGUGAACGCUGGCGGUAGGCCUAACACAUGCAAGUCGAACGGCAGCACAGUAAGAGCUUGCUCUUGCGGGUGGCGAGUGGCGGACGGGUGAGGAAUACAUCGGAAUCUACUUUUUCGUGGGGGAUAACGUAGGGAAACUUACGCUAAUACCGCAUACGACCUACGGGUGAAAGCAGGGGAUCCUCGGACCUUGCGCGAUUGAAUGAGCCGAUGUCGGAUUAGCUAGUUGGCGGGGUAAAGGCCCACCAAGGCGACGAUCCGUAGCUGGUCUGAGAGGAUGAUCAGCCACACUGGAACUGAGACACGGUCCAGACUCCUACGGGAGGCAGCAGUGGGGAAUAUUGGACAAUGGGCGCAAGCCUGAUCCAGCCAUACCGCGUGGGUGAAGAAGGCCUUCGGGUUGUAAAGCCCUUUUGUUGGGAAAGAAAAGCAGCAGGUUAAUACCCCGCUGUUCUGACGGUACCCAAAGAAUAAGCACCGGCUAACUUCGUG